UAAGGAAUAUUGGUCAAUGGACGCAAGUCUGAACCAGCCAUGCCGCGUGAAGGAUGAAGGUCCUCUGGAUUGUAAACUUCUUUUAUCUGGGACGAAAACGGGAUUUUUAUCUCAAUUGACGGUACCAGAGGAAUAAGCACCGGCUAACUCCGUGCCAGCAGCCGCGGUAAUACGGAGGGUGCGAGCGUUAUCCGGAUUUAUUGGGUGUAAAGGGCGCGCAGGCGGGAUAAAAAGUCAGUGGUGAAAUCCUACAGCUUAACUGUAGAACUGCCUUUGAUACUUUUAUUCUUGAGUUCGGGAGAGAGAGACGGAAUUCCAGGUGUAGUGGUGAAAUACGUAGAUAUCUGGAAGAACACCAGUUGCGAAGGCGGUCUCUUGGUCCGACACUGACGCUGAGGCGCGAAAGCGUGGGGAGCAAACA
rnacentral:rRNA from 1 species